UUUCCAUUAGAGAAGUUUCAUACCUGUUAGAUCUCCUGCUGCCAGGAACUAACCUCCUGGGAGACAGGUCUUAUCGUCAUCCAGGCAUAUAGGAGGGUGUUGGGAAAACACUUGUAGUGGAUGCUGGAUUGUGCCAUUCAGAGCCAGCUCCCUUUGCUAUUGAAGAACUUAUUUCCCUACAUGUCAGGACUUCUGCUGGCUGAUGGCCCCCAGCUGUGAGCUCUUUCAGGCAUCACCUUUGGCUGCAAAAGGCUCCCUCUCCUGAAGUUACUACCUGCAUCCCUGGAGGCAGACUUCAUCUCAUGUCUUCAUCCAAAGUUUGAACAAAUUGGCUAAGAAGGUGCUAGACAUGUAAAGGGACUAUUUUUUUUCUUAAUUCAAAUGUAGGAGGAGUAUGGAUCUCCAGGAACCAGAAGAGCUGCAUACAUAUGCCCAACAAUUCAGCGACAGCACCAUCAGCCCAGAUGGGGGUUGUGAGCAAAGUCCGAGAUGGUCAGAAGGAAACGAGAACCUGGGAGGUGGCGAGUGUCCACUGCUCUAGUCUCAGGACAGCCUGCUCUGUUAAAGCACCUGGUCCUUCUUCCUGAAGACUUCAGUCCCACCUUGCAUUAUGUUUUGUUCUGUGUAUGUGCGUGUCUAUCUCUCCUGCUAACUGCUGAGCUUGCUAAGGAAAGGAACCUUGUUUUAUGAAAUAAAUGAUAUUUAUGAG
rnacentral:lncRNA from 1 species